UACGGGGGGGGGCAAGCGUUUGUUCGGAAUUACUGGGCGUAAAGGGCGCGUAGGCGGUUCGAUAAGUCCUGUGUGGAAAUCCCUCGGCUUCAACUGAGGAACUGCACGGGAGACUGUCGGGCUGAGUUCGGGAGAGGGAAGCGGAAUUCCGGGUGUAGCGGUGAAAUGCGGUAGAUAUCCGGAGGAACACCGGUGGCGAAGGCGGCU
rnacentral:rRNA from 1 species